CCGGUUCCGGUUCACGCCCGACCCGCCGCGAACGGCAGCGGGGGCGACCCGGCGACC
rfam:Micromonospora siamensis strain DSM 45097 genome assembly, chromosome: I